rnacentral:rRNA from 1 species
GUCGGCGAGCGGCGAACGGGUGAGUAAUAUCUGGGGAUCUACUUAAUAGAGGGGGAUAACUAUUGGAAACGGUAGCUAAUACCGCAUAAUGUUUUUUUAAACCAAAGUAGGGGAUCUUUUAUUAAAGACCUUGCGCUAUUGAAUGAACCCAGACGAGAUUAGCUUGAUGGUAAGGUAACGGCUUACCAUGGCAACGAUCUCUAGCUGGUCUGAGAGGACAAACAGCCACACUGGAACUGAGACACGGUCCAGACUCUUACGGGAGGCAGCAGUGGGGAAUAUUGCACAAUGGGCGCAAGCCUGAUGCAGCUAUGCCGCGUGUAUGAAGAAGGCCUUUGGGUUGUAAAGUACUUUCGUUAGGGAAGAAAAAGAAAAAACUAAUAAUUUUUUAUAUUGACGUUACCUAAAGAAGAAGCACCGGCUAACUCCGUGCCAGCAGCCGCGGUAAUACGGAGGGUGCUAGCGUUAAUCGGAAUUACUGGGCGUAAAGAGCGCGUAGGUUGAUUAUUAAGUCAGAUGUGAAAUCCCUAAGCUCAACUUAGGAACUGCAUUUGAAACUAAUAAACUAAGAGUAUCGUAGAGGGAGGUAGAAUUCUAGGUGUAGCGGUGAAAUGCGUAGAUAUCUGGAGGAAUACCUGUGGCGAAAGCGACCUCCUAAACGAAUACUGACACUGAGGUGCGAAAGCAUGGGGAGCAAACAGGAUUAGAUACCCUGGUAGUCCAUGCUGUAAACGAUGUCAACUUGGAGGUUGUUUCCUAGAGAAGUGGCUUCCGAAGCUAACGCGUUAAGUUGACCGCCUGGGGAGUACGGUCGCAAGGCUAAAACUCAAAUGAAUUGACGGGGGCCCGCACAAGCGGUGGAGCAUGUGGUUUAAUUCGAUGCAACGCGAAAAACCUUACCUGGUCUUGACAUCCAUAGAAUUUUUUAGAAAUAAAAAAGUGCCUUUACCGGAACUAUGAGACAGGUGCUGCAUGGCUGUCGUCAGCUCGUGUUGUGAAAUGUUGGGUUAAGUCCCGCAACGAGCGCAACCCCUAUUCUUUGUUGCCAUCAGAUUAUGCUGGGAACUCAAAGGAGACUGCCGGUUAUAAACCGGAGGAAGGUGGGGACGACGUCAAGUCAUCAUGGCCCUUACGACCAGGGCUACACACGUGCUACAAUGGUAUAUACAAAGAGACGCUAAUUUGCAAAAAUAAGCAAACCUAAUAAAAUAUAUCGUAGUCCGG